GAUGAACGCUGGCGGCGUGCCUAAUACAUGCAAGUCGAACGCUGAAGGAGGAGCUUGCUCUUCUGGAUGAGUUGCGAACGGGUGAGUAACGCGUAGGUAACCUGCCUGGUAGCGGGGGAUAACUAUUGGAAACGAUAGCUAAUACCGCAUGACAACAGUUAUUGCAUGAUAACUGUUUAAAAGGGGCAACUGCUCCACUACCAGAUGGACCUGCGUUGUAUUAGCUAGUUGGUGAGGUAACGGCUCACCAAGGCGACGAUACAUAGCCGACCUGAGAGGGUGAUCGGCCACACUGGGACUGAGACACAGCCCAGACUCCUACGGGAGGCAGCAGUAGGGAAUCUUCGGCAAUGGACGGAAGUCUGACCGAGCAACGCCGCGUGAGUGAAGAAGGGUUUCGGAUCGUAAAGCUCUGUUGUAAGAGAAGAACGAGUGUGAGAGUGGAAAGUUCACACUGUGACGGUAUCUUACCAGAAAGGGACGGCUAACUACGUG
rnacentral:rRNA from 1 species